rnacentral:rRNA from 1 species
AUAACGACUCUCGGCAACGGAUAUCUCGGCUCUCGCAUCGAUGAAGAACGUAGCGAAAUGCGAUACUUGGUGUGAAUUGCAGAAUCCCGCGAAUCAUCNAAUCUUUGAACGCAAGUUGCGCCCGAAGCCAUUCGGCCGAAGGCACGUCUGCCUGGGUGUCACGC